UCAGUAUUUUAUAAGAAUCGAAGGCUAUUUGAAUAAUUUGUUUUCAUUGCCGAUACGUUCUUACAAACAACCUUGUCUAUAAUAAUUGAAAAAGGUGAUAGUAAAAUUCUUGAAUAGAAACCCAACGCUUAUGAAUAGAUAAAUGAUUUCUUAUAUCAUUCGUGGCCACAAAAGGAGGGGAAUUACCCUGUUGUGGGGAAUCAGAACGACCUUCGUAUUCAAUGCUGCAUUUAUAAAUGUUAAAUACUAUAAAAAGGAAAUAGGUUUGCGCAGUAUCAUAGCGCCAUCUUUCGGACGCCACAUUCAAAUUUAUUUUAUUCCUCAUUGCAUGAUCUAUAUACUAGUUUUUCAAUUUCUUC
rnacentral:lncRNA from 1 species